UACGGAGGGUGCAAGCGUUAUCCGGAUUCACUGGGUUUAAAGGGUGCGUAGGCGGCCCUGUAAGUCAGUGCUGAAAUAUCCCAGCUUAACUGGGAGGGUGGCAUUGAUACUGCGGGGCUAGAGUACAGAUGAGGUAGGCGGAAUUGACGGUGUAGCGGUGAAAUGCUUAGAUAUCGUCAAGUACACCUAUAGCGAAGGCAGCUUACUAGGCUGUAACUGACGCUGAGGCACGAAAGUGUGGGGAUCAAACAGG
rnacentral:rRNA from 1 species